UGUCCACAAUUUUUGUUUUUGUGCUUUUGCCAUUGAUCUGCCUAAGUUUGUAGACCUGAUGUACCUCGUGCGAUGUUGUAGUCUAAAAGCGGUGACAUUUUUGAAAAACCUGGCACAUAACUAACAGGAUGGCAGCUGACGCAGACCCCC